GUACAGAUAGAGAGACGGAAGAGAAAUUUGUGAAAGAGGAGAGAGAGAGAGAAGAGAGAGAGAGAGAGAGAGAGAGAGAGAGAGAGAGAAGGGAGGAAGACAAAAGGAUAAAGAAGCUUACCGAAUCAACUAGACAAGAAUCUGGUUGAAGUAGACCUUGACAGCAAGUAGAAUUUGUGACUCCACAAACAUUGACUUUGCUUUCUUUCCCAACUAAAUAACCUGAAGGAACACAAACAAAUACUACAUCUCUAACUAAAACAUGCUUGCAGCAAACAGAGCUAAUAAACUACUAAAAU